rnacentral:rRNA from 2 species
GAUUGACCUCGGAUCAGGCAGGGAU